AUGGUUUUAUACUCUAUCAAUCAAUGUUACAUUCGACUGAUUUGAAUAUUUUUUGUGUGUCAUUUUCGUCAUAUAGCUCAUCAACUCUUUCUAUUCUUUCAUAUCUUUGGAUUUCAAAUACUUGUCGCUGGGCGUAAAUGAUGAAGAUAAAUCAAAAAUAGUGCUCGCUUCGGACGCAUGGAAUUUAUAACUUGUUUUUUUUUCGGCCACUAUUGCAGAUCUUUUUGUUGCUUAUCGGAUUAUCGUGGUCUGACAUCUGUCACGAACUAUUUUUUUUUUCCAGGUGAAUAAAAUUAAAUAAUUGCUGACGCAAUGCACGUGAAGGAUGUAAGGUUAAAUUUGCCUACAAU
rnacentral:lncRNA from 1 species